UGGGGAAUAUUGCGCAAUGGGGGAAACCCUGACGCAGCAACGCCGCGUGAAGGAUGAAGGUUUUCGGAUUGUAAACUUCUUUAGUCGGGGACGAAGAAAUGACGGUACCCGAAGAAUAAGCCACGGCUAACUACGUGCCAGCAGCCGCGGUAAUACGUAGGUGGCAAGCGUUGUCCGGAAUUACUGGGUGUAAAGGGCGUGUAGGCGGGAAGGCAAGUCAGAUGUGAAAUUCCGGGGCUCAACCCCGGCGCUGCAUCUGAAACUGUCUUUCUUGAGUGCUGGAGAGGAAAGCGGAAUUCCUAGUGUAGCGGUGAAAUGCGUAGAUAUUAGGAGGAACACCAGUGGCGAAGGCGGCUUUCUGGACAGUAACUGACGCUGAGGCGCGAAAGCGUGGGGAGCAAACAG
rnacentral:rRNA from 1 species